UACGUAGGGUGCGAGCGUUGUCCGGAAUUAUUGGGCGUAAAGAGCUCGUAGGCGGUUUGUUGCGUCGGCCGUGAAAACCUGCAGCUUAACUGUGGGCCUGCGGUCGAUACGGGCAGACUUGAGUACUGCAGGGGAGACUGGAAUUCCUGGUGUAGCGGUGGAAUGCGCAGAUAUCAGGAGGAACACCGGUGGCGAAGGCGGGUCUCUGGGCAGUAACUGACGCUGAGGAGCGAAAGCGUGGGGAGCGAACAGG
rnacentral:rRNA from 1 species